rnacentral:rRNA from 1 species
CGGGAUACCCGAGGGAAACUUCGGUUAAUACGGUAUAAGACCACACUACCGCAUGGUAGAGGGGUAAAAGGGGCAACCUGGUAUGAGAUGGACUCGCGUCGCAUUAGCUAGUUGGUGAGGUAACGGCCCACCAAGGCGACGAUGCGUAGCCGACCUGAGAGGGUGAUCGGCCACAUUGGGACUGAGAUACGGCCCAGACUCCUACGGGAGGCAGCAGUGGGGAAUAUUGGGCAAUGGAGGAAACUCUGACCCAGCAAUGCCGCGUGAAUGAAGAAGGUCUUCGGAUUGUAAAGUUCUUUAGUCAGGGAAGAAGUCAAUGACGGUACCUGAAGAAUAAGCUCCGGCUAACUACGUGCCAGCAGCCGCGGUAAUACGUAGGGAGCAAGCGUUGUUCGGAAUGACUGGGCGUAAAGGGUGCGUAGGCGGUUGUACAAGUUAGAAGUGAAAUACCCAGGGCUUAACUCGGGUGCUGCUUCUAAAACUGUAUGACUUGAGUGCAGUAGAGGUUAGUGGAAUUCCUAGUGUAGCGGUGGAAUGCGUAGAUAUUAGGAGGAACACCAGAGGCGAAGGCGGCUAACUGGACUGCAACUGACGCUGAGGCACGAAAGUGUGGGGAGCAAACAGGAUUAGAUACCCUGGUAGUCCACACUGUAAACGAUGGAUAAUAGAUGUAGGAGGUAUCGACUCCUUCUGCGUCG